UUUAAAAUAAGACAGUUUAACCGUAAGACUUACCAUUCGAUUAACGUUUUUUUUUCGGUAGUAAAUAUUUUUGAAAAAUAAUUUGUUGAUUAAGAUUAUUAUAUGAUAAUUAAUUAUAGGUGAAGAAAAUCUCGAGGUUAUUGAACCCGGGAUCGAGGAUUAGAGCGAAUCUUUCAGAGUUCAUCGUUUAGACCAAGGUGAAGAAAAUCUCGAGGUUAUUGAAACCGGGAUCGAGGAUUAGAGCGAAUCUUUCAGAGUUCAUCGGUUAGACCAAGGAUAUCUAGAAAGCUUCUGUUGAUGCUCCAAUCCCUCAGGAAGGUGGAACAGAAACAAACAGGGAAGCUACUGAUGGAGUUUUUCGGAAGGAGGUUGAUGGGAACAGAGUCUACAUCUCGCAGAAUGGAAGUCCCAAGUUCAAAGGUGGCAGUACUUAUUGGUAAAGGUGGCCCAUGGAUAAUAUCACUAUUGCAUCUGUCAAUUUUGAAAAUACAUGAACCAAACAAAAUUUCUAAAUAGACA